rnacentral:lncRNA from 1 species
UUUCCCUGUCCUGUGCAGCUCUGGCUCGUGCUGUCAAGUGGCUGUGGUACUGCUGUGCCAUGCAAGUGAUGCUCACAGCUUUCUACGUUGUGAAGCAGGCUUUUAACACGUUUUGGUUACUGGAACUGUUUUCAAGGAGAACGUCACACCAGGAGCCUCCAGAGUGCUCUGUGUUUGUUACCAAGCUUUUGCAACUGUACUGAUUUGAAGGAUGACGUGGUGUUUGCUCGUGGUCCCAAUUAGAGGCUCUUUAGAGCAAAAUCCAGAGCAAUUUCUGGAUGUCGUUGACCAUGAUAGCUGAUUUUCUAAUCAUGGCUAAGCUGCUCUUCGUUCUGAAGUGAGCAUUGUUGCACCCUGACUGAAGCUGUGUUGCUCUGCAAAGGUGCUACCAGAGGGCAGCCACAGCGAGGCUGGGACAGAGGGCCGAUCAAAUGCUGCUCCUGCACUUCUGUCUCUGUCCCUAAACAGUGCCCCUCUCAAUGUCUUACAGCUACGGAUUUGGUAUCAGCUCAGAUGACUGGAAAUAGCUGCUGUUUUUUCCCAAUGUCCAGAUGUGCUGUUUUUUUUUUUAAACAUCGAAUUGUGCUUUAAAAACGUGGUCAUAUGACAGAGAUUACAGUUGUUAAGUAUUCACGUAUCAAGGAUUUCUAUUUUUGAAGAGGCAAACAACUCCAUUAUAGUUUGCAAUCUAUAUAUAAGAACUUACAGUGAAAAGCACGUACCAGAAAUAACCAAGAUGGGCUGAACCUUUAAGUUCCAAACUAUUUUCCUGAGCAAUGAGAAUAUUUUAUGAAACCUAAAGGAAUCUGCUUCCUGGAAAACCUCCCUCUGAAACAGCCCUGAGCUGCCCUGACGGCCGGGGAAGCAGAACAAGAGUUUGGAUGCUUUGGAGCCCUCCUGUUAGAGGAAAUAGAUUUUUGAUGGGGGAUUGAAAUAGAUUUUUAAUGGGGGAAAAGGCUGCCACAAACAUAAGGCUGAAAGGGGGUAAAAUGGCACGUGUGUCCGUGCACGGAAUUAUGGACAGUUAUUGAAGGGAAGAUGUACCGCAGUUUGGAGCUUUUAGAGUAUUUAAGGCUUAUGUCAUAAGGAUGCCUGAAGCACUACAGUAAUUGAAGUAUUCAAAUCUGCUGAAUGAAUACCAGCUAAACCGUUUUCUUUAGAUAACAUGACUUGAAGCUGCAGAACUGUCAGUGUAUCUCAUAUGCUGCAAUUGUUUGCCUUUUAUUUGUGUGUGAUUCACUACUUUUACUAAUUGUUACAGCUGUAACGCAUCAGUAUCAUUAAUAACUAAUGACAGCAUGAUCUCACUACAUCUCCUGCAACUAACAGGGUCACUUGGCGUGUCAGCUGUGUCACAGCCCCCAUCAGCACUGGGAUGUGGUGCUCCCAGCAGUCCCCAUUCUCCUUCCUGAUGCUGUACGCAUGCCAGGUCUGAGGAUACAGGCUAACAAAUUGGGUUUUAAGCUCCUUUUGAUUGCAGCGUUGCACGCUGCUCCCAGAUCUGCAGGACUGAGCAU